GACGAACGCUGGCGGCGUGCCUAAUACAUGCAAGUCGAGCGAAUGGAUGGGAGCUUGCUCCCUGAAGUUAGCGGCGGACGGGUGAGUAACACGUGGGCAACCUGCCUGUAAGACUGGGAUAACUUCGGGAAACCGGAGCUAAUACCGGAUACAUUCUUUCUUCGCCUGAAGAAAGAUGGAAAGAUGGUUUCGGCUAUCACUUACAGAUGGGCCCGCGGCGCAUUAGCUAGUUGGUGAGGUAACGGCUCACCAAGGCAACGAUGCGUAGCCGACCUGAGAGGGUGAUCGGCCACACGGGGACUGAGACGCGGCCCAGACUCCUACGGGAGGCAGCAGUAGGGAAUCUUCCGCAAUGGACGAAAGUCUGACGGAGCAACGCCGCGUGAGCGAAGAAGGCCUUCGGGUCGUAAAGCUCUGUUGUUAGGGAAGAACAAGUACCAGAGUAACUGCUGGUACCUUGACGGUACCUAACCAGAAAGCCACGGCUAACUACGUGCCAGCAGCCGCCGUAAGAC
rnacentral:rRNA from 1 species